rnacentral:rRNA from 1 species
AGGACGAACGCUGGCGGCGUGCUUAACACAUGCAAGUCGAGCGGAAAGGCCCUUCGGGGUACUCGAGCGGCGAACGGGUGAGUAACACGUGAGCAAUCUGCCCUUAGCUUCGGGAUAGCCCCGGGAAACCGGGAUUAAUACCGAAUACGACCUCGGCCGACAUCGGCCUUGGUGGAAAGUUUUUCGGCUAGGGAUGAACUCGCGGCCUAUCAGCUUGUUGGUGGGUGAUGGCCUACCAAGGCGACGACGGGUAG